rnacentral:rRNA from 1 species
GCACGGGGGCUACCCUGGUGGCGAGUGGCGAACGGGUGAGUAAUAUAUCGGAACGUACCCUGGAGUGGGGGAUAACGUAGCGAAAGUUACGCUAAUACCGCAUACGAUCUAAGGAUGAAAGUGGGGGAUUCGCAAGGACCUCAUGCUCCUGGAGCGGCCGAUAUCUGAUUAGCUAGUUGGUAGGGUAAAAGCCUACCAAGGCAUCGAUCAGUAGCUGGUCUGAGAGGACGACCAGCCACACUGGAACUGAGACACGGUCCAGACUCCUACGGGAGGCAGCAGUGGGGAAUUUUGGACAAUGGGCGCAAGCCUGAUCCAGCAAUGCCGCGUGAGUGAAGAAGGCCUUCGGGUUGUAAAGCUCUUUUGUCAGGGAAGAAACGGGUCUUUCUAAUACAGAGAUCUAAUGACGGUACCUGAAGAAUAAGCACCGGCUAACUACGUGCCAGCAGCCGCGGUAAUACGUAGGGUGCAAGCGUUAAUCGGAAUUACUGGGCGUAAAGCGUGCGCAGGCGGUUUUGUAAGUUUGUCGUGAAAUCCCCGGGCUCAACCUGGGAAUGGCGAUGAAGACUGCAAGGCUAGAGUUUGGCAGAGGGGGGUAGAAUUCCACGUGUAGCAG